rnacentral:rRNA from 1 species
GACGAACGCUGGCGGCGUGCUUAACACAUGCCAGUCGAACGGAAAGGCCCUGCUUUUGUGGGGUGCUCGAGUGGCGAACGGGUGAGUAACACGUGAGUAACCUGCCCCUGUCUGUGGGAGAACUUCAGGAAACUGGGGCUAAUACAGGAGAGGAGCUACUGCUCCAUGGGGGGGGAUGGAAAGUUUCGGCGGUUGGGGAUGGACUCGCGGCUUACCAGCUUGUUGGUGGGGUAGUGGCGUACAAAGGUUUAGAAGGGUAGCCGGCCUGAGAGGGUGGCCGGCCACAUUGGGACUGAGAUACGGACCAGACUCCUACGGGAGGCAGCAGUGGGAAGUAUGACACAGUGAGCGGAAGCCUGAUGCGACAACGCCCCGUGCGGGAUGACGGCCUUCGGGUUGUAAACCACUUUCUCCUGAAACGAAGCGUUAGUGACGGUAAUGGGUAAAGAAGCACCGGCUAACUACGUG